GGCUGAGAUGAGCUCAGUUGGUCAGAGCCUGGUGCUCAUAACACCAAGGAUGUGGGUUUGAUCCCUAUGUGUGCCA